rnacentral:rRNA from 1 species
GAAACUAACAAGGAUUCCCCUAGUAGCGGCGAGCGAACCGGGAAGAGCUCAAAUUUAAAAUCUGGCGUCCUUCGGGCGUCCGAGUUGUAAUCUACAGAAGUGUUUUCCGUGCUGGACCGUGUCCAAGUCCCUUGGAACAGGGUAUCAAAGAGGGUGACAAUCCCGUACUUGACACGACAACCAGUGCUAUGUGAUACAUUUUCUACGAGUCGAGUUGUUUGGGAAUGCAGCUCAAAAUGGGUGGUAAAUUCCAUCUAAAGCUAAAUAUAGGCGAGAGACCGAUAGCGAACAAGUACCGUGAGGGAAAGAUGAAAAGCACUUUGGAAAGAGAGUUAAACAGUACGUGAAAUUGUUAAAAGGGAAACGAUUGAAGUCAGUCGUGUCUGUUGGUUUCAGCUGUCUCUGGCAGUGCAUUACCAACAGACGGGUCAACAUCAGUUUUGGACGGUGGAAAAAGACGGAGAGAACGUAGCACCUUCGGGUGUGUUAUAGCUCUCUGUUGCAUACACUGUCCGAGACUGAGGAAUGCAGCUCGCCUUUAUGGCCGGGGUUCGCCCACGU